rnacentral:RNase_P_RNA from 1 species
GCAGUGAGACAGAUGACCGCCGCGCCGCAAGGCGGGGAGGAAAGUCCGAACUCCGCAGGGCAGUGCGCCGGGUAACGCCCGGUCAGGGUGACCUGAAGGACCAGUGGCACAGAAAACAUACCGCUGACGUCCGCCGCAAGGCGGGCAAGCAAGGGUGAAAAGGUGCGGUAAGAGCGCACCGCAUCCGCCGCAAGGCGUGAUGGCAGGCAAAACCCCGCACGGAGCAAGGCCAAAUAGGGAAGCGGAAAGCUCCCGCGCAAGCGGGAGACCCCACGUCGCCGCGCAAGCGGCGGCGUGGUAAGGACGGCCCGUCCGAAGCUUCCGGGUAGGCUGCUUGAUUCCGGCAGUAAUGCCGGAGCUAGAGGAAUGGUUGUCACCCCGAGCGCCUCGCAAGAGGGGCGAAGGGACAGAAUUCGGCUUACGGCUCACUGCAGCC